rnacentral:rRNA from 1 species
GGUUAAGUUAAUAAGGGCGCACGGUGGAUGCCUUGGCACUAGGAGCCGAAGAAGGACGGCACUAACACCGAUAUGCCUCGGGGAGCUGUAAGUGAGCUGUGAUCCGGGGAUUUCCGAAUGGGGAAACCCACUGUUCGUAAUGGAGCAGUAUCCAUGUGUGAAUACAUAGCACAUGAGAAGGCAGACUCAGGGAACUGAAACAUCUAAGUACCUGAAGGAAGAGAAAGCAAAUGCGAUUCCCCAAGUAGCGGCGAGCGAAACGGGAUCAGCCCAAACCAGAAGGCUUGCCUUCUGGGGUUGUAGGACACUCUAUACGGAGUUACAAAGGAACGGAUUAAGCGAAGCGACCUGGAACGGUCCGCAAGAUAGGGUAAUAGCCCCGUAGCUGAAAGUUCGUUCCCUCCAGAGUGGAUCCUGAGUACGGCGGAACACGAGAAAUUCCGUCGGAAUCCGGGAGGACCAUCUCCCAAGGCUAAAUACUCCCUAGUGACCGAUAGUGAACCAGUACCGUGAGGGAAAGGUGAAAAGCACCCCGGAAGGGGAGUGAAAUAGAUCCUGAAACCGUGUGCCUACAAGUAGUUAGAGCCCGUUAAUGGGUGAUAGCGUGCCUUUUGAGAUCG